rnacentral:rRNA from 12 species
GACCUCAAAUCAGGCGAGAUCACCCGCUGAAUUUAAGCAUAUAACUAAGCGGAGGAAAAGAAACUAACCAGGAUUCCCCUAGUAACGGCGAGCGAAACGGGAAAAGCCCAGCGUGAAAAUCCGGGAGGCAUCCUCCUCGAAUUGUAGUCUGAAGAGGCGUUUUCAGUGACGAACCGAGCAUAAGUCCCUUGGAACAGGGUGUCAUAGAGGGUGAGAACCCCGUUUAUGGCUUGGAGGUCGUUGCAUUUCGAUACGCUUUCAUAGAGUCGGGUUGUUUGGGAAUGCAGCCCUAAG